CCAGGCUUUAGGUUCUUUUGGUGAGUAGACGAUAUCUGAAGUGCUGCACCCACAUUAUGACUAUGUGUAGAGACGGGGCUUUACCAUGCUCGCCAGCCUGGUCUGAAAUGCCUGACCUCAAGUGAUCUGCCUGCAUCGGCCUCGCAAAGUGCUGGGAUUACAGUCCGGAACCACCAUGCCUGACCUGGAUCAUAUUUAUUUGGAGAAAACAAAAAACCCACAACCCACAGGAUGGGAUUUUACAUCAAGACAUCUCCCAGCCUACUCACAAGAAGAUGGCAAAGAUGAAGACUUUUAUGAUGAUCCACUUCCACUUAAUGAACAGCUGAAGCCCCUUCACCUUCUGCCAUGAGUGGAAGCAGCCUGAGGACCUCACCAAAGGCAGAUUCUGGUGCCAUGCUCCUUGUCCAAUCUGCAGAACUAUGAGCCAAAUAAACCAUUUUUCUUUAUAAAUUACC
rnacentral:lncRNA from 1 species